rnacentral:misc_RNA from 1 species
GAUGAAGAACGCAGCGAAAUGCGAUAAGUAAUGUGAAUUACAGAAUUCAGUGAAUCAUCGAAUCUUUGAACGCACAUUGCGCCCGCCAGUAUUCUGGCGGGCAUGCCUGUCUGAGCGUCAUUUCAACCCUCAAGCAACUUCUGCUUGGUGUUGGGGAUCGGCCGUCAAACGCCGCCCCCGAAAUCUAUUGGCGAUCUCGCUGUAGCUUCCUAUGCGUAGUAGUAACAUCUCGCAUCUGGAGAGCGGCGCGGUCAUGCCGUAAAACACCCAACUUCUCAGGUUGACCUCAGAUCAGGUAGGAAUACCCGCUGAACUUAAGCAUAUCAAUAAGCGGAGGA